CACGUAGUUAGCCGGGGCUUCUUAGUCAGGUACCGUCAUUAUCUUCCCUGCUGAUAGAGCUUUACAUACCGAAAUACUUCUUCACUCACGCGGCGUCGCUGCAUCAGGGUUUCCCCCAUUGUGCAAUAUUCCCCACUGCUGCCUCCCGUAGGAGUCUGGGUCGUGUCUCAGUCCCAAUGUGGCCGUUCACUCUCUCAAGCCGGCUACUGAUCGUCGCCUUGGUAGGCCCGUUACCCCACCAACAAGCUAAUCAGACGCGGGUCCAUCUCACAGCGAUAAAUCUUUGAAAGGAUCGUCAUGCGGCAAUCCCUUGUUAUGCGGUAUUAGCAGCCGUUUCCGGCUGUUGUCCCCCUCUCGUGAGGCAGGUUACCCACGCGUUACUCACCCGUCCGCCACUCAGUCAUUACCAUCUUCCCUCCGAAAAGUUCCGUCGGUAGCGCUUCGUUCGACUUGCAUGUGUUAAGCACGCCGCCAGCGUUCAUCCUGAGCCAGGAUCAAACU
rnacentral:rRNA from 1 species